rnacentral:rRNA from 1 species
UACGUAGGGGGCAAGCGUUGUCCGGAUUUAUUGGGCGUAAAGAGCGUGUAGGCGGCUUUACAGGUCCGUUGUGAAAACUCGAGGCUCAACCUCGAGACGCCGGUGGAAACCGUAAAGCUAGAGUCCGGAAGAGGAGAGUGGAAUUCCUGGUGUAGCGGUGAAAUGCGCAGAUAUCAGGAGGAACACCGGUGGCGAAGGCGGGUCUCUGGGCCGAUACUGACGCUGAGGAGCGAAAGCGUGGGGAGCGAACAGG